AACAGGUGUAACAAGAGAAAAAGUAGAUCAUAGAAAAAGAAUGCUAACAAAAUACCCUCUUCUUAACCUUCUUCUCGCAUCCCCCUGUUUCAUUCCAUUACUUUGUCUUUCUUUUUCAAAAUUUACCUUUCCUUAUUUUUCCUCCCUUUGCUUUUUUUUUUUUUAAACUAGAUUUUUUUGGUUUUUCUCUAAUAAACUUAUGGAGAUCUUAAUUCUGCAUGGAGAUUUUCUUCUUUGUUUUCCCUCUUUUUUCUCUUAUCUCCUCCUGUGAUGUGAGUUUUGAUCCUUUGAUUUUAAAUACAAGUUUAGAUUGUUUGUUUGUCAUGAAUUUAAAGAUUAAUAAUUUUUUUUAGUUUUUAGUCAAAAUUUCUAGAAACUCCAAUCAAGGGUUCUCCCACUCUUCACUCUUCCUACCCGCAACCCAUUCUUUCUGUCACAAAUCCUUCUGUUCCAAACCCCUCAUUUUGCCCUUUUUCCAUAGCUAGUUUGGUGGUUCAGCUGGUUAGGAAAUGGAAGGAAUCAAUGAACCUUUCUUUGACGAUUUAGCGGAGAAAGAGGAGAGCGGUGAAGAUGACGAAAUAGAGAGCAGUGUUGAUUUGUUAAUGAGGUUCUAGAAGUGUGCCAAGAAGGCCUUUUGCUCUAUCUUACCUGUUGCAAUACUGCCCCAAUUGGUGAAAAAUGUCUUUAAUGAAUUUUGAGAUGUUCUUUGAAUUUGUUUAAUUUAUUUUCAAAUAAAAUUUAUCUAAUUAAUAUUUUCUAUUUUUUGUUUUAGUGAUAGGAAUAUGCAUUAACAGUGAUUGUUCAAGGUAAUUGGUCACUUAUACUUAGGCCAACUACGGAUGAGGAAAGGAGGAAAGGAGGGAGGCUUAACCAUUGUACAGAGUUCAAUGGUUUACUGGCAAACCCAUAGAAAAAAUUCAAGUGACUUUUGCAGUUGAUGGAGUCCUGUUGUUGACUACACUUUCCAUUGUCAAAGCACUUCUUCAAUUCUAUGGUAAUUUCACCUUUUCAGGUGGGUGGUCGGUGCUGAAGAUGGAUCAUUAUUGUGUGAGAUUGUAAAUUGUGUUGGUGCACUAGAUUACAAGUAUUUUCUUCUUUUUUUGUUGCAUUUGCAGUGGAUCCUCUCUAUCAUCAAACAUGUGCGUAAUUUGAUGGUGAAGCCAAGGGUCUGUUGCUGAUUAAUCUUGGUGCUUAUUCCGGAUGUCGGGUUCUCUUUGAUUCAUUCGAAGUUCUAAGGAAGAAAAUGCCUUCUUCAAAUCAACACGAUAUAUCUGAAACAAUUGAUCUGUCUUUUGCUGGAGAAUACGUUGUAUGAUAUUCAACAUGCGAGUAAAGGAUGAGAUUUCACCGACUCUCAAGAAGACAUGGAAGACAUUCUCUCUGUUGCAACAAAGAUAUGGUUAAAUUGCCUUCUUUGAAACUUUCUUUUUUUUAGAUGUUUUGCAUGAUUAUCGAAAAAGAUAGUAGAAAUUCACAUUUUAAUAGUAAUUUGAGGUUGUACUUCCGGGCAAUUACCUAGUAUAAAUGAAAGAAAGCAAUUCAGCAAGUCACCAGAAAAUUAUUUUCAAUUACAAUGCUAAAGCAAGUUUGAUUGUAAGGAGAAACUGCCUUGCAGUAAGAGUGUAAGUUAUAAGUUUAGGCUCAUUAAAUUAAACAAAGAAGGGCAUAUAUUAAGUGCGUAGGUCUUUUAUAAUUAAAUGUGUAUUAAAUGUCUUAAUUUCAAUCAAAUAAAAGAAAAUAUAUGAACCUAGAUCUUUGUCUCUCAAAGAAGGGAAUGGAGGGCUCUGUGGCUAAAGCUGCAUCCAUCCACCACCGGUUCGCAUCAUUCAUACCAGGCUUGGUAGACAUGGUCGUUAGGAGAGUUUUGUUAUUUAAUAAUAUAGGAUAUCUUUAUGCAUACAGCAUAACCCUGACUGCAAACGAAGAUAAAUAAAAGCUACAUAAAAUGUCAUUUAUGUUCACUGGACAAAUCCAUUUUCAACAAAGCGAUUUCAAGGCUGGGAUAAUUGAGAAGUCAAGAUCAGCAGUUAGAUGACCCUUCUGAGGAAAAGGAAAAUGGCUAGGGCCAAUGCGUAAAAUCAUAAAUCCCAUCAAGCCUGAGGUGCCGUGCCCAAUCCAUACCCGAGUACGAUAAGCCGAAUCUUACUAAGCAACCAAGUUCAAUUAUUUGAGGUCCAAGUGGGCCAUGGCCAUUCAAUGGCAUCACACAUUCUACGCCAAUUGAAACAAAAGAAUGCAUUCCACCGUCAACAAGAUCUACGAGGAUACUCCACC